GACGUUAUCACUGAUGCGGUAGCGCAGGAAGCUAGCAAUGCGGAUUACAGGUUAGUCCGUCUAAGGCCGUAGGUUGGGGGGUGUGUUAAGUACCAUCCCCUAUAACCGAGAACUGAUGGCCGGGGGAAGCCUUCGGGUGGAACCCGUGAUUGUGAUGCUCUACUGCCGGGAAAACCCGCUAAGGAGUCCAACAGCGAACCGUACCGUAAACCGACACAGGUAGGCGAGGAGAGUAUCCUCAGGCGCGCGAGAGAACCCUCUCUAAGGAACUCGGCAAAAUGGACCCGUAACUUCGGGAUAAGGGUCGCCCUAGUAGAGUGUAAGGACUUGCUCCUGAAGCUCGAAUGGGCCACAGCAAAGAGGCUCUGACGACUGUUUAAUACAAACACAGGACUCUGCGAAGACGUAAGUCAAUGUAUAGGGUCUGACGCCUGCCCGGUGCUGGAAGGUUAAAGGAAAAAGUUAGGGUAGCAAUACUCGAAGCUUAGAACUGAAGCCCCAGUAAACGGCGGCCGUAACUAUAACGGUCCUAAGGUAGCGAAAUUCCUUGUCGGGUAAGUUCCGACCUGCACGAAUGGCGUAACGAGUGGAGCGCUGUCUCGGAGAGGGACUCGGUGAAAUUGCAGUGGUGGUAAAGAUGCCAUCUACCCGCGGCAGGACGGAAAGACCCCGUGGAGCUUUACUGUACUUUGACAGUGAAUUCUGACUGGACCUGUGUAGGAUAGCUGGGAGACUUGGAAGCGGGAGCGCUAGCUCUCGUGGAGUCGCCGUUGAAAUACCAGCCUGGUGCUGUUGGAGUUCUAACUCGAACCCGUUGAUCCGGGUUGAGGACAUUGUCAGACGGGCAGUUCGACUGGGGCGGUCGCCUCCCAAAAGGUAACGGAGGCACCCAAAGGUUCUCUCAGCGUGUAUGGAAAUCACGCGUCGAAUGCAAAGGUAUAAGAGAGCUUGACUGCAAGAGAAACAGCUCGAGCAGGUGGGAAACCAGGGCUUAGUGAUCCGGUGGUUCCGCAUGGAAGGGCCAUCGCUCAAUGGAUAAAAGCUACCCCGGGGAUAACAGGCUGAUCUUCUCCAAGAGUUCAUAUCGACGAGAAGGUUUGGCACCUCGAUGUCGGCUCAUCGCAUCCUGGGGCUGAAGUAUGUCCCAAGGGUCUGGCUGUUCGCCAGUUAAAGCGGUACGUGAGCUGGGUUUAGAACGUCGUGAGACAGUUCGGUCCUAAUCCGCCGUGGGCGUUGGAAGAUUGAGAGGGGCUGCUCCUAGUACGAGAGGACCGGAGUGGACGGACCUCCAGUGUGCCUGUUGUCCUACCAAGGGCAGCGCAGGGUAGCUGUGUCUGGUUAUGAUAAACGCUGAAAGUAUCUAAGCGUGAAGCAUGCCUCAAGAUAAGACUUCCUUGCAGAACCCGGGCAACCGGGUUCUGCUGAAGACCCCUGGGAGACUACCAGGUUGAUAGGCCACGAGUGUAUGCUAAGUGGUACUAAUCGGUCAAACCAA
rnacentral:rRNA from 1 species